UAAAAACCCAGUGUGCAAAAAAGUGAGGUGGCCGUUAUAUCUCAAUGAAAAAUCCAAAAGGAAGCGUGUUCCGCCGGUAAGUUUACAGAUGAAAAGGAACAGAAAAGGCCGUGGUGGAUGAGACUUCGGCUCUGCGCGGUGGGACAAUCAUCAAAGAUUGAGAGAGAAUGACAGGAAGAAAAUGAGCUGAAAAGUGCAGCUCGGUCUGUGGAUGAGUUGUUGUUGUCACAAGGUACAAAGAGGGAGGAGCCAAAGGACACUGUCAGCCUUUGAAGCAUAGACAGCGCACAAUAAUACCGUGUUACAUUCAUUGGUACUGUGCGCAGCAAAAUUGCGUUUCGCUUCGCUGUCACUGUCUAAUAACUAAUCGACAUCUCUUAGAAUUGAGACUUUUUAAAACGGAAAAUAGGCUACAAUAUGUAAGCCCAACUUAACGUCUUAACAGAUAAUGCGUUAUCUUCGCUAAAGUUCAAUAUCCAUAUUAUCCAUGACAACCCUUUUAAAAUAAACAUCCAGAGCAGUGCUCCUUUUUGCCAAAAGCAAAUAAAUGUGAUCUAUGGGAAGUGGAGGGCACCUGGCGUAGUCGUAUGUCUUUUUAAAGACAGCAACUUCAAACAGGACAUAACUAACUUUCAACGUACAGUAGUGCCAAGGUUGCAUGGCAUUGACCCCGUCCCUUCCGGAGAUGCUCCCACCCCCCACUCCUCUUUGCAAACACACCAGGCGCUAGUGAAGGGCAGAUGUCAGACCAACAACACCUCCACCCCCCCCCCCCCCACACACACACACACACACACACACACACACACUCAUACAAACACACACAUUUCACCUACCAGACAGACGUUUUGUUGAGGCCAGAGAGGCGGGGGG
rnacentral:lncRNA from 1 species